rnacentral:rRNA from 1 species
UGGUGCAUGGGCGGCGCCUGGUCGUCCCGAAAGGCGUUCUCUUAGGGGACACAACGAAGGAAACCCUCACCGAACCCUGCUACUUCUUCGUCCGGGGAGGAGGCACAUUGUCGGGACCGCUGGCGCACAGCCGGAGGAAGGACAGGUCAAGGGGAGGUCAAUAUGCCCCGAAUCUCUUGGGCUACUCUUGCGCUACAAAGGGCGGGACAAUGGGCUCCGACGGCGAUAGGACGACGCAAUCCCGAAACCCGCCCGUAACUCGGAUUGAGGGCUGUAACCCGCCCGCAUGAAGCUGGAUUCCGUAUGGAUCGCGAAUCAACAACUCGCGGUGAAUUUGCCCCUGCUCCUUGCACUGCACCGC